rnacentral:rRNA from 1 species
UACGGGGGGGCAAGCGUUGUUCGGAAUUACUGGGCGUAAAGGGCUCGUAGGCGGCCAACUAAGUCAUACGUGAAAUCCCUCGGCUUAACCGGGGAACUGCGUCUGAUACUGGAUGGCUUGAGUUCGGGAGAGGGAUGCGGAAUUCCGAGGUGUAGCGGUGAAAUGCGUAGAUAUCUGGAGGAACACCGGUGGCGAAGGCGGCAUCCUGGACCGAGUACUGACGCUGAGGAGCGAAAGCCAGG